GGCCGCCAGCACCAGCUGCCGGGCCGCGGGUUCCCGGGCUGUGUCGGCUUCCUCCGGGCUGCAGAGUGGAGGUGUGGAGCUACUUCUGCUCCCACCCUGCUCUGUGCCUGCGCCGCCAUCACGGAGGUCCUCAACCUCUGGACCUGCGGCUUUUGAGGCCUUGAUACGACCCAAGAAAGCAGAUCUGUUAGAAGACUUGGCGCGCCUAGGCCACUGGGUCCCGGGAUGCCCCUGUAAUCACUUCCUGGGAGACGUUUAGAUUCCGACCAGAAACAGCAAAAAAUUAAAGUUGCAAUACUUGAGCUAAAGUGGAUCAUCUGGUUCAAAGCUGGCUCUGAGAAAGAUGGAAGCAUUUCUGAGCACUCUGAGGAUCUGCAUGUGGAAGUAAAUUUGCAAGAAAAGCUGUUGGACGCAUUCUGCUUGGACACAUGAAGUCAACCCAACUCUACUGGCACAAUUCAGCUUGGUGAUGAAAUAUGUGGCCUCAGGAAUCCCCAGGGAACUUGGAAGCUUCAUGCCCUAGACAAGGACAUCCUCUUCCAAGCCUCAGUUUCCCGUCUGAAAAUAGGUAUAAUUAAAGUCUCCCCAUUCCUCAUCCCCAUGUCUCUCCUCCACCUCAACUCGCCCUGGUUAUCCCACAGGCAGCAAAACUGGCCCAAGGUCAGUUUUAUGUAUGGCGAUGGCUGGAGAGCACCAUCAGAGCCUGGACCCUUAGGAACACUGAAGUUUCAGCAGGCAGAUUUGGAAACCACAUAUGUAUGUAUGGCACUUCCUGGCUGGCAUGGGAAGCAAAGUGCUUCUUUCUAUCUUAAAAGGCAGAAUUUUCCAAGCACUUUCUUGAGGUGUUAUUGAAACGAACACUACAUACAUUUAAGAUCUAUAAUUUGAUGAGUUUGUGCAUAUGCAUCCUUACACCUAUGAUACCACUGUCACAAUCAAAAUAAGAAAUAUGUCUAUCACCUCCAAGAGUUUUUGGUGACUCAUUAAAAAUAGAAAAAACAAGACUUGCUAUUUUUACCUGAAGUAGAUCAAAGGCAGAUCUUGUGAAGAGGUAUCAGCACAUACCAAAUGGCAUUGACUUUACAUGGUGAAGAUUUAUUUCUCACUCAAGUCACAGUUUUAGGGGCUGCAGUGAAGGCUCAGGGGGUCCACGCUCUUCAAUGCCAGGCCUGCAUGGCCACUGGGGAUGAGGAGCACUCAGACACACCUCUUCUGCUCAUCUCCACCCAGCCACGACUGGGCGGGUUGUUUGAUCAGCCUAACUCUAAGGCUGGCUGUGAGGUAGAUAGUGUGGGUAAGAUGAGUGUGUGCACAAUACCUAGCCACAUAUAUGAGGUGGGAGAGAUGAUGAUAUGACCAUUGCCACCAUCAUCAAAAGCCACACUGGCCACAGAGAGGGAAAAACAGCGAUGAAUUCAUUUAUCAAUGCUUUUAUAAUCCUACAACAUCAGUGAUUGGCUAAUGAAUCCUACAAAUGUCAGCACCAUGCUUACUUUGUCACCAUGGCUUAUAAUUACUGAAAAUAGCCUUGCUGCCAUUCUUGAAAGCUAGAGAAGUCCUGAUCCCUCCACUCUACAUGGGAAGAUCUGUUUUUGAAUCAUGCUUUCUACACAGGGGGAGGUCCUGGGGGAAGACACCUGUAUAGCUCAGCUCAACCCUUAUCCUGGAAAAUCAUUCCCACAAAUGGCAGAAUUAACAAUUAGCCUAAUUUUGUAUACUGCAAUCACAUCACACACACAUGACACCUCCCAUCAGCAGCAUUUAGUAAAGAUGAGAGCUGGGCUUAAACUACAAAAGCAUCAGUAUUGCCACCAAAUCUAUGAAUACCAAUCUCUAUUAAUGGUUUAGGUUUUGCAUAACCAAUGGAAAUGGAUGCAAGAAUCAAGUCAUUCUGCUAAAGUAGAAGCAGUCAUGGGGGCCUAGGGUUUACCACCCUCUCAACCAUGGAGAGCUGUGAGGAGCACCCACAUGCUUCAGUGACCAUACCAGAAACCCCAGGAAACCAUCACCCAAAUGACUUACCAUGUGUCAUUCGUAAGUGUCUGAUCACAGGCAAUUUCACUGGAAAUAGAAGGUUUCCAUUAAUAUAUAAAUCAAAAUUUAAUUUUUAAUACUUGAAAGUAUGUAUGAAGUUUCGAAGAAUUUCCAAAGACCAUUUUGGGAUUCUCAUCUCACCACUGAAAAUAGAACUUGGAUUAUUUCAAAGAAACUGUCAAAAAGAGCUUUGAAGUGUCCACAUACUGCUCUGUUGAGAUAGACUCUUCAUUAACAAGAAAAGUUUAUCCUCAAUAUCUAAAGCCAUCCCAGUGCAGCUUAGGGCAUCUGCAGUCCUCAAGGUUACUGUUUGAAGGUCAUGAGCCAGGUCCAUCCAGCUUUCAGAACCUGGAGAAAUACAUUUCUGUUAAAAUUGCACAAGCGAUGGCAUUUUGUUACAGCUUUUCCAAAGCACUAAAGUUCUGUAUGUGGAACAAUCAGGCUCCUUCUUGAGAGCCCAUCAUUUUAAUGUUUCCCUACAUAAUUGCUCCUUUCUUUUUAUGAUGGCCUUUAGCAAAUACAGUCUUAAAGCAAAGCAGUGAAAGAGAGAACUGGGAAAAGGAAGGAUGACACACAGGGACAGUGACCAGCACAGAGACCUAUUUACUACAGAUUCGAAGGGCAUGGUCCAGCAUUCUAUCUUUCUUAUAUCUCUUUUGUAUUUUUCCAUAAAUAAUUUAAUCACAAAAGUAAUGCAUGUUUUUUUUUAAAUCCUGGAAGUUAUAGAUGAGCCAAAAAAGGACAAAAAUAAAGAUCAUUCAUAGUUCUACCUCAAGAUAAUGGUGCUAAGGACUUAGUGUGUGUGUCUUUCCACAUGGCAACACACUAAAUCCAUAUUUUAGAAUGAAACACAGAAUGAGAGUGAGCACAGAAGAACUUUCCAAGGUCACCAUCUUAGUAUGUUCUGUGAUCUGUGACAGAAUGUCUGAGGCUGUAUAAUUUAUAAAGAACACAGCUAGGGGGCUGGGGAUUUAGCAAAGAACACAGCUUUUUCUGGAUAUGGUGGCACAUAGCUAUAGUCCCAGCUGCUUGGUAGGCUGAAGUGGGAGGAUUGCUCAAGGUCAGGAAUUUAAGAAUAGCCUGGAAAUACAGUGAGAUUUCCUCUCAAAACAAACAAACGUUGGGUGUUGUAGCCCAGCAUUUUAGAAAUUGAGGCAGGAGGAGCACAAAUUUGAACACACUCUGGACAAAUUAGUGCCUAAGAAGCUUAUCUUAAAUAAGAGCUGUGUAGAAAGGGCUGGAGAUGUAGCUCAGUGCAAACGCCCUAGUUUAUUCUUUACAGUUGUGGAGUAGAGGUUAGGAGUCCAAGGGGCCCCCAUCUGGCCAUCUGGUGAGGGCUUUCUUGCUACAGUGGGGUAGAAAAGCAAGCGAUGUGGGCUCCCUUUGCAGCUCCCCCAUACUUCUCGCCUUCCCCACAAGUGGACUUCCCUUUCACUCAGAAUAUGUGAGGCUUACCCUGCCGGCAAAUUUCCUAAACAGCGAGAUUUUUAGUUGAAAAUGAUAUUAACCUUAUAAAACAUUUGAUCUAAAUUCUGAAUUCUAAACUCUGAUCUGAGUAGUUUGUAAAGAACAAAAAUAAAUUUUGAGGAUGGAACUCCGUUAUUGCACAGGAAGAGUCUUGAAAUAGAGGCAAAUAGAAUCCUCCCCCAAAAGGAAUAUUUUAAAAGUCAAAUGAAUUUCUGCAAUUGGAAUAAGUACAUGUCUCAGUGCAUCUCAGCCAGCUACCGGGGGUUCUGGAGUUGGGUGGAAAGGGUACUGUGCUGUGAAGGUGACCCCAGACACUAAUGGCAGUUUGUGUGAGAAGUUUGGACACUCAGCAUCCUUAGCCCAGUGACGACUACCAGAACCCAUGGCAGUGAUCACUCAGAAGCAGCCACUUACAGGUUCUAUUUCCUCCCAUCACAACUGUGCUUUUAAUGUUCUUGGGAAAACUGAGUCCAUUCUAAUGUUGCCAGGGCAACAUUAAUGUUGCCAGGGCAACAUUAAUCAUAGGACCAAUGUCCCUCAGAGUUACCUACAAACACGUGAGUCACAAUCCUCUUUUCUCUUGGCAGGAUCAAAGAUAGGCAGAAUGGAGGAGCCUUGGGUCCUGGCUGACCCAAUCAGUAUCUCUAGCUUUGUGGCAGGAGCAGAGAUACAAUAGUAUCGACAAUAGGGUAGAUGAUCACCUUAACUUCCAGAGCCCUGAACACAGUGGCCAUUGGUCAACAGAACAUAGAAAACAGGAAACAUGUAACCAUUGGUUAAUUUAACUUCUGCAAGUCCAAACUGUCUGAGUCUGGGCUUGAGUAGGAGAAGAAGACUAAGGGAAAUAGAGGUGUAUUUCCACUUCUCAGAUCCCUGCAUUUGGGGAAUGCUUAAAUCCAUUGUGUAAGACGGCAUUGUAUUGGCACACCCUCCCCGCCUUCAAAUCAUCUCUCAAUUAUUUAUAAUAACUCGAAUAUUGUAACGUGCUAUGUAAAUGAUUGUCAUUGGGAAUAGUGAAAAGAAAAACAGUUCAGUGCAGAUGCAGUUCUUCCCCAAAUACUUUCUGAGUGAGACUGGUUGAACGCAGAGGCAGAACUGAGGAGGGGAAGAGUCCACUGCAAUUGGAAGAACGUGGAGGUUCCGCUCACAUUUGCACCGCGGCAAGGAAGUUAGCAGCUCACCAUGCUGACAGCAAAUGCCCCUGCUCCAGGAGAAGCAAAAUUUUUUAGCUUGAUAUAUUGUAUUUGCGAGAGUUCUCCAGGGGAACAGAAUCAGCAGGAAAUGUACACAUGUAGUGAUGGAAAGAGAUUUAUUAGGAGGCUAACAGGAUCAGUGGCAGGAGUAUCCACAAUGGCCAGCUGUACUGUGGACAGCCAGAGGACCCAGUGGCUGCUCAGUCCCAGAAGCUGGAAGACGCACACCCAGAGGAACUGAGGAUGCAACAUCAGCCCAAGGCUGAAGACUUGGAAGCUCCUGGAAAGGCGCUGUUGUGCGCUGGUGUUGAAACGUGAAGAAUCUGGGGUCUAAUGUCCAUGAAGCAAUGGCAUUAGCGAAAGAGGCAUCUGCUUACACAGAAUGGAGCUUUUUCAAGUGCAGGCUGACUUUCUCCUGCUUCCCUUCAUCACGUCGGGGUGGGGCUUGCCUCCCAGAGCGUGGCCUGCGUGCAACCAUCCCUAGAAACACUCCACACACCCACCAGGAAGUCUGCCUUAGAAAUCUGCGAGGCGUCUCUUAAUCCAGUCAAACCAACGUUCUCAUAGGAAGAGCGAUGCUAAAUGUUAAAUCCUUCUCUAAAGUGAUACAAUGCAAAUUAUUCAAUACAAAAUAGGAAAUUUGAAGAUUUUAGGCACAGUCAGGAACUUAAAACCAUUAAGGCACAUCAAUCUGGCACAGAAUAGAUACACACUUUGCUCUUGUGAAAGCAAAAGCUCUUUGGCAGUCUUAAUGCUGACCAGUCCCCCUGUCUGUACUCUUUCCCCGUAGACUUGAUCACACAUUUGCCAGUCCUUGUCACCACAUUUUAAACCGUAAGGGAUUCGUCUGAAUUUUGAGACUAGGUUCUCCACUGGCAGCGUUAAGCACGACCUCAGCGAUGGGUACUGUCAAUCAUGCUGCAGAAAAUUAUUCUCCAUAAAAUAUGCCGCAGCAGUCCAGUGGGGGAGGCCAGCAGCAACUUCCAAUUCUGGACCUGCGUCCCUGUUGUCAUGGGGAAAGGAACAGCCCUCAGCAGGCCCUGUCCUGGGGACACUGCAAGUUUCCAUAAUGCACCAUCUCAAGUUAGAAUGGGACCCUCUACUGCCAUCCGCUGGACACUGUUAUAGUAACUAUCCCAAACAAAACGCCCAGGACUCCUCUGCAGAGGCCCUGCUGGGCAAUGCACAGCAGACCAACCAUUGUGACCCCUGAAAGCUCCAGAGCCAACUUCUUCCCCUGGUUUCCAGCGAAGAAGCGAACCAGCGCCAGUAGAGGGAAUACUGGCUGUACUCGACCCGACAGAGCUGGAGACUACAUGCAGGGCACAAUCCAGAAGAUUUGCUAGGGUGAUUUUAAUGGUCUUUACCCUACCCAGCACUUAGAUGUGGUGUGAUUUUGUUCCCUCGCAGGUUCCACCAGCAGAAGACAUGACUGACUAUAAGUACUAUGUAUGAAAUAGUGUCAAAUUUGAGCCCAAGCGUGAAAGGAAGUGGCUGGGUAUGGAUUCUGAGGAGGUUUUCCUGUUAAUUUUAGUUGGCAUGGACAACGAGAUGUCUAAUCAGAGAUUGGGCUGGUUUUCCAGAGUGGGCAGCAGUUGUCCUGGGACACAGUGGCUUAAUCAAAGGUUAUGGUUCCUGUGAAUCUAGGGGUGACAACUUUUCACCGACGGAAGGGUGUCUGAUGGCUGUCUGUCCUUGAUGAAGGUGACCGUGGAGCUGUGGUACCUCCUGCAUCUCCCUAGCCUUGUCUGCAGGCUCUGCCGAGCUCUGAGAAGAUGCCAGGGAGGGCACGGUGCCAGAAGUGGUCCCUGCCAGCCUGGAGUCACUGUACUGCACUGUGACAGAGUCAGCAAUGUGUCGCUUCAAGCCACUGAUGCUGGAGUUCACUCGUUACAGCGGCUACCGUUGCCUGCAUGAACGUGAUUUGCCAUUCACGGAUGCAUUUCAUACCAAGGAGAAGUUGCAAUAAUGAUAUGAGGAGAGUGAAAAAAAUUGAAGCUGUUAACUGUUUUCCUGCAAACUGGUAAAAAUUUGCUCUUCCCAAAUUUCAGAGCAAAGUAUUAGUGUCUUUCACACAGGUUUCCAUGAGAAUGUGGUUUGGACAGUUUGGGGAAUUUUUCUUUUUUUGAAACAGGCUAACCUAGAACUCACGAUAAUCCUCCUGCCUCGGCCUCCCCAGUGCUGGAACUGCAGUGUGUGCCACUGUGCUGGGCUGGUUUGGAUAGUUUCUGGAAGGCUGUUUUCUGUUCCUC